GGGUAUGUAGUCUAAUGGCCAAGACGCCCACUCUUUCAAGGGUGUCGUCGGGCUAAUGAGCUCGACGAUUCAUGGAGAUGCGGGUUCGAGUCUCGCUGUAUCCA